rnacentral:pre_miRNA from 1 species
UUGGUUUGUCUGAAGUCAAAUUUGCUAAACUUUGACCAUGUUUAUAGAAAAAUAUAAUAACCACCAUGCUACCAAACAUAUGCACUAUCAAAAUAUAUUCCAUGGUGGAUUCAAUGAAACAAAUUUGGUAUUAUAAAUAUCGUUAUAGUUUUCUAUAAACAUGGUCAAAGUUUAGCAAGUUUGACUUUAGACAAACCAAA